UACCGUUUCUCAUAAAUACAGUUGAAUACUGUAAAUAAACAUUAAUAUGACAAACAAAAUAAUAACAGCAAGCUCCUGUUCAGUCUUACGGGAUAAUACAGUAUUUUUUGGUUUGGUCAGGCAUGUCAGACAUGUGACGAGCUCAUCUGCAACCAUGAGUAAAACUGAUUUAACUACACUGUUUUUCUGCAUUUUAUUAUACGAGAAGGAAGCAGAAUUAAAGACUGUCUAUCCAUUUUCACUCCGAUUGUGACCCUACCAGCACUGAGACGGACGACGAAUUCACUUGUUUUUUACUCCUCGCCUGUAUAUCAAGUUGCUGGUGAUGAAGUAACAUUUGGAGGUUGGAUGAUCAGCAGUGAAAACAUCAUCAUCUGUGAAGGCAAGAUGAAGCUGCGAGGACACUGGAGUUUGUUCAAAGAUGCUUAAUUGGUGUGAACCCUAAGAGGUGAACAAAAGCCAGGCAGGUGAAGGUGUCCGAGAAGACAGGAAAGCUUGUCCAGAAAAACGCAGCAACUGUUAAUCCCCAUGUGACCACCCUCAUCAAAAACUUCAUGGACUUUGAGUGGCUUUCACAUUGUAUUCUGCAGUGUUGUGAUAUUUAUGUGACAUCACAGCAUUAUGUUUUAUUCAGCCCAGUCUCAUUAGUGAGGCAGAAACUGACAUUUAAGAAUGCACUGAAUUUUGUUAUAUUUAAUAAAAACAGUGUUUUAUCAUCAUCCUUUGUUUGAGAAUUUUUUUGCAAGCAAUUUUAAGUGUUUAUUUUAAAAUUACAUUUUAACAAUGCUAGAAAAAUCACAUUCUACAGUAUAAAUAACAGCAGGAACCCUAAAAUAACAGUAUAAUGCAUCCAAACAUCUGACAGUAUUAUACUGUGCAGCUCCCUUUUUUUACAGUACUGUCUCGUAAUAUUUGUACAGUAAAAAACUGUUGUUGUAAAUUACAGUAGGUAAUCUGUAAAAUUACAACUAUAUGCUGGCAAAUCUAGCUGCCAGUAUAUUACUGUAAUUUAACAGUGAAA